AAUCCCAGGGAAUUUUAACUAGAACUGCUCUGCAAUGUCUGUGUCUGAAAAGGAAAGUGAGGACAAACAAAAUGGAGGUGAAGAAAAUGAGUCUCAGAAAGGUUAAGUAACUUCCUCAAGGCUAUAUAGCUGAACAAGAGAGAUAUCUGCAAGCCAACAACAGAGAAUUUAACAGUCUGUUUGGAUAUCCGG